rnacentral:rRNA from 1 species
UUAUCAAAAACAUGUCCUUUAGAAUUGAAUUUAAGGUCUAACCUGCCCACUGAGUUAUUAAAUGGCCGCAGUAUUUUAACUGUGCAAAGGUAGCAUAAUCAUUAGUUUUUUAAUUGAAGGCUUGUAUGAAUGGUUGGACAAAAUAUAUAUUGUUUCAUGUAAAUUAAUAGAAUUUUAUUUUUUAGUUAAAAAGCUGAAAUUUAAUUAAAAGACGAGAAGACCCUAUAGAUCUUUAUAAUUGCUGAAUUUAAUUUAUGAAGAAUAUUUUAUUUUUAAUUUAUGCAAUUAUUUUAUUGGGGUGAUAGUAAGAUUUAUUUAACUCUUGUAUAAUUUAAUACAUAAAUUAAUGAUUGAUUGAUCCAGUAUUAUUGAUUAGUAAAAUAAGUUACCUUAGGGAUAACAGCGUAAUUUUUUUAGAGAGUUCAUAUCGAUAAAAAAGAUUGCGACCUCGAUGUUGGAUUAAGAGAUAAGUUUGGGCGCAGCCGUUCAAAUUUAAAGUCUGUUCGACUUUUUAAUUCUUACAUGAUCUGAGUUCAAACCGGA